rnacentral:lncRNA from 1 species
CAACCUUUUGGAGAAGAGGAAGGUGAAGGCCAUCUAUCUUGAUCUGAAACCAUAAUAAGACCAGAGAUUUGAGCUCACUCAUUGGGCCAUGCCUGAAACGUAUGUUUUUAAUGACAAGCUCUAUUUUUUCUUGUUUAAAAUUUGACCAUAAGAACAGAUUGUUUUCAUUUGGUACCUGUAUUUGAGCAAAGUCUAUUCUUUUACAAAGGACCAUGGCUAAGUUUAUACUACAUCAAAGAACUUUUACAAGACAAAGCCUUAAUGCACAUGAACACUGAGUAGCUCAGACAAGCAACAAAACACAAGCAGAAAAUGGGAACUGCAUCCCCAGUUCAAGUUCUGAACACGUGCAGCGUUUUUGCCAUGUAGACUUAAUUCAAAGGAUAAUUUACUAUAAACAAUUUAUGUCCAUUAUUUUAUUUUCCCCGUCAUUAUUGAAGGGAAACAGAAAAGUGGCUGCAGAAAUCCAUUAUAAACCACUGUUAAAGUUUAACAGGUUCACCAAUGGUACAUUAUCAAGUAAAAUGGGGACUGUCCUGCUUGAGUUUGUCUGUAUUGUAUAUCUACAGGGAAGAUGCUGUUUGGA